GGGAAUAUUGCACAAUGGGCGCAAGCCUGAUGCAGUAACGCCGCGUGAGGGACGACGGCCUUCGGGUUGUAAACCUCUUUUGGCAGGGAAGAAGCGAAAGUGACGGUACCUGCAGAAAAAGCACCGGCUAACUACGUGCCAGCAGCCGCGGUGAUACGUAGGGUGCAAGCGUUGUCCGGAAUUAUUGGGCGUAAAGAGCUCGUAGGCGGUUUGUCGCGUCUGCUGUGAAAACCCGAGGCUCAACCUCGGGCCUGCAGUGGGUACGGGCAAACUAGAGUGCGGUAGGGGAGAUUGGAAUUCCUGGUGUAGCGGUGGAAUGCGCAGAUAUCAGGAGGAACACCGAUGGCGAAGGCAGAUCUCUGGGCCGUAACUGACGCUGAGGAGCGAAAGCAUGGGGAGCGAACA
rnacentral:rRNA from 1 species